rnacentral:RNase_P_RNA from 1 species
CGACCGAUUUGGGCAGUUGCGUGCAUAUUUAUGUAUGAGGAAAGUCCGAGCUUCACAGAGCAGGGUAACGGUUAACGACCGCCGAGGGCGACCUUAGGGAAAGUGCAACAGAAAAUUACCGCCUGUUAUUACAGGUAAGGGUGGAAAGGUGAGGUAAGAGCUCACCGUCACAUGUGAGAGCAUGUGGGCGUGUAAACCCUAUCCGAAGCAACACCGACUUAAAUGAUUUGCUCGAUCUAUAUUUAGACGGGUGGCUUGAGGUUUGCGGCAACGCAAAUCCCAGAUAGAUGAUUGCCUUAAAUGACAGAACUCGGCUUACAGAAUCGGUCGCAUA